GUGAAUACUGAAAGGUAGAUCAAAACCACACUUCUCUGAAAACUUGAUUUCAGGUAGUCUGAUAUUAUAUGUCUUCUCGUAAUUUAUACUGUUUUAUUAGUGAAUACUGAAAGGUUAGAUCAAAACCGCACUUGUUUUAUAUCAUGAUUGUGUCAAUUUACUUUUGUCAAAAGUGGUUUACAGGAAUCAAAUUAUGGUCACACAGGUUCACAGCAUCAUUGGAA
rnacentral:misc_RNA from 1 species